AUGUCGGUGCGAAGGCCCCGGGGUGAAGAGGAAGACGACGAGCAGGGGAGCGGAGGCGACUAUCAUCAGCAACGGCACGGCCCGAGGCGGAUACGGCCGGCCGCGCCGCUCUCCUUCAGAUCCAUGGUCGGAAGAGCCAUGGCAGUGGACACUAUCGAGCAAAUUGCCAUGAGUUUGGAACCGGUUAUUCGUAGGGUGGUACGAGAAGAAAUUCAAAACAUCUUUUCUCAGCACGAUCACUUACCACACAGGUCUCUCCCUUUAAACAUCCAAGAGGUCGAUGUCUCGCCUAGGUUGAAGCUUUCCUUUGCAAAGAAGCUCAUGCUACCUAUCUUCACCAACAACAAGCUUGUUGAUGCCACCAAGAACAAAAUUGAAAUCUGGCUCAUGGAUACUAGAACCAACCACCAUAUCACUCAAACAGAAACUAACGAAGGCUCUUCAACACUGAAGCUGGAGGUACUUGUACUAGAUGGCGAUUUCAGUUGCGAAGAUGGCAUGGGGUGGACGGAUGAUCAGUUUACUGCUGCAACUGUGAAGGCUAGAGAGGGUAGGAGACCACUACUUGUGGGUAGUACACUCAAUGUAGCAAUGAACAAUCAAGGAGUGUCCAUGAUUAAUGAUGUGGCUUUCACUGAUAAUUCAAGUUGGAUAAGGAGCCGUAAGUUCCGAAUCGGUGUUCGUGUCAUGGGAGCGAGCUAUUAUGGGCCAAGGAUUCAGGAGGCAGUGAGCGAAAGCUUCAUAGUGAAAGAUCAUCGAGGCGAAUUGUACAAGAAGCAUUACCCUCCUCUCUUGACUGACAAUAUAUGGAGUCUCAAAAACAUCGGAAAAGAUGGACCGAUUGACAAGAGAUUGGAGUCCGAGGGGGUCAAGAACGUUCAAGACCUCCUGAAGCUUCAAACCGUAGAUCCUGAUAAGCUAAAAAAUCUCGUUGGCAUGUCAGAUCGGCAAUGGAGGACAACACUGAAUCACGGAAAAACAUGUAAAAUGGGACGAAAAAGCUACAUCUUCAAAUUUGAAGGGUGUGAUGUUAUAUUCAGCCCUAUAGGUGAGAUUUUAGCAGCAAGAAUUGGAGGCCAAACAUGCUCUUUGCAACAUCUACAGCAGCAACAAAUGGUCCAAGUGAAGCAAUUGGCCUCCAGGGCAUACGAGCAAUGGGAUAAACUAGAGGAAGUGGUGGCAAAUGAUACAGAACUUGUUACAUAUGAAGGCUUGUCAUCGUUUCCUCGGGGAAAACCCGGUUCGUCAUGUACACUAGCGAGUGAUGAAAGCAUCAUCAGCUCAGGGUCUCAAAGUGUCGAGUAUCUUGGAAAGUUGGGAUCUAGAACACCAACUUCCAAUGCUACAAUGGCGUCUAAUAGCAGCAACUCCUUAGAUUCCGUGGUAGCUAUCCCAGCUAGUGAUGCUAUGUAUUGGAUCCCAAGCAUGGCCGUUGACGACGAUCACUUUACUUGGAACAACUCUACUAACCUCGGUUGUUGGGAUCAAGUUGAUUAA
rnacentral:rRNA from 1 species